rnacentral:rRNA from 1 species
AUGAGAAGCUCGGGUGAUGGAGGUAAUGCUGGAGAAGGGCUCCUGGCGGUGGGAUCAAUUCUAGGAGGAGGUGGAGAUCAUAGCAGAGGAUAUGAAGGCCGUGUGGAUGACAUAGAAGAAGAGGAGGAGCUCAAGGCUGCGGAGAAAAAGGACAACAGUAGAGUAUCAGACUUCCAUCUAGCUGAGAUCAACUUUUGUUUUCACGGGACAUGUUUUCAAGCUUUGGGUGCCUGCGCCCGGCUCGACGGGUGGCAUCAGCAAGCGCCGGCCGGCCUCGGCACUGCUGUUGGUGGUUAUAUGGUGGGCGGAGCACACUAG